rnacentral:rRNA from 1 species
GAUGAACGCUGGCGGCGUGCCUAAUACAUGCAAGUCGAGCGAACAGACGAGGAGCUUGCUCCUCUGACGUUAGCGGCGGACGGGUGAGUAACACGUGGAUAACCUACCUAUAAGACUGGGAUAACUUCGGGAAACCGGAGCUAAUACCGGAUAACAUGUUGAACCGCAUGGUUCAACAGUGAAAGACGGUCUUGCUGUCACUUAUAGAUGGAUCCGCGCCGCAUUAGCUAGUUGGUAAGGUAACGGCUUACUAAGGCAACGAUGCGUAGCCGACCUGAGAGGGUGAUCGGCCACACUGGAACUGAGACACGGUCCAGACUCCUACGGGAGGCAGCAGUAGGGAAUCUUCCGCAAUGGGCGAAAGCCUGACGGAGCAACGCCGCGUGAGUGAAGAAGGUCUUCGGAUCGUAAAACUCUGUUAUUAGGGAAGAACAAAUGUGUAAGUAACUAUGCACGUCUUGACGGUACCUAAUCAGAAAGCCACGGCUAACUACGUG